GAAAAUUCAAAAUUUUUGCUUAAAAAUAUAACUUUAUUCAAUCAGGUAUUGUCCGUUUUUGUCGAUGACCUUUUGCCAUCUUUCAGGCAGUGUCAUAGUUCCAUGUACAUAAAACUUUUGAUUUUCGCCAGCAAGAAACUGAAUUAAACAUGAUUUUACAUCAUUAGUGUCAUUAAAAAUUUUACCAUUUAAGGAGUUCUGCAUGGAACGAAAUAAAUGGUAAUCUGAAGGCGCAAG
rnacentral:misc_RNA from 1 species